AGUUAUAUGAGCACGUAAGUAGUGGUUAAGGUCCAAUCUUGCUUCCCUCUCAAUCUUUAAUCACGAAAUUGGCCUUAGACAGAAUGAUCACUAUAACAAAUGCUGACUAGAUCAAAAAAGAACAACAAAAUACUCCUUCAAUGUCAAUUAACCAACCCAGCGGCCACUCAAACGUUGUUGUGAGAGGAUAACAAAACAGACCUUGAAUCAGAAAGGACCCGGAUGAAUAAAAAAACCUGCCUGCUGUGAUUUCAUAAUUAUACUACCCACUUAAAAUACACACACCCUAUCAUUCAAGAGAAGGUUAAGGCCACCAAAAAUAAAGAAAGAAAAGAAAAAAAGUGAAAGUCUUCUCUUCAAGGUAACACACAAAUAGCAGACUCGUUUAGUUUCAAAACCUACAGAAUAGUACCCAAACAUUAAAAAGCACAGAAACUAAAACCGUCUUGGAGCAUCUCAGUCAACCAUCUGACAGCUCGGGGGACCGACCCACGUCGGGAGGCAGGUGGGCAGGAGGAGCGCGACCGGGACGCUCCUCGCCGACCCCGGUCCCGGUAGGUUGUGCGGGCGGCCACUGCCUCGCCCGCGACAGCUCUCGCCGGCCAAUUAAGAAUGAAACAAACUCAUAAGAAAAAAAGCUUUUCCGCCCGUUCCCUCAUUGGACGACGGCGAAGGGUCACGGGCUGCCUACACGCACCGUCUCCGAUUCAUGAACAGUGAGAUUCGAGGCUGAAACCGACCUACUAAAUUGGAGUCCUACAUGCUGCAACAUCGCCUUGCUAGUCUGGUCAUGGGUGGAGCCCUGGGAUGCAUGUUGGAUAUAGAGGCACUGGGCAUGCAAGGAAGAAGACAGAGUAUAAAGAAGUCUACUGAAGCAGGGU